rnacentral:rRNA from 1 species
GAUAAACGCUAGCGGCGUGCCUAAUGCAUGCAAGUCGAACGGUUUUUCGCAAGAUAAACAGUGGCAAACGGCUGAGUAACACGUGAGCAAUCUGUCCCUAAGUGGGGAAUAACACCGGGAAACCGGUGCUAAUACCGCAUGUGGUAGUGGAGGUAGGUUUUCACUACUAAAGCUUUCGGGCGCUUUGGGAGGAGCUUGCGUCCUAUCAGGUAGUUGGUGAGGUAACGGCCCACCAAGCCGAUGACGGGUAGCUGGUUUUAGAGGACGUCCAGCCAGACGGGGACUGAGACACGGCCCCGACUCCUACGGGUGGCUG